AUGGCGACCGGCGCACGGGUGAGUAACGCGUAUCCAACCUGCCCUUUACUAUGGGACAGCCCGUCGAAAGGCGGAUUAAUACCGUAUGUUGUCAUGUUGAUGCAUAUUCUCAUGACCAAAGGCUUCGGCCGGUAAAGGAUGGGGAUGCGUCUGAUUAGCUUGCCGGCGGGGUAACGGCCCACCGGGGCGACGAUCAGUAGGGGUUCUGAGAGGAAGGUCCCCCACAUUGGAACUGAGACACGGACCAAACUCCUACGGGAGGCAGCAG
rnacentral:rRNA from 1 species